CAGCCGCCGCGGGAAUACGUAGGUGGCAAGCGUUGUCCGGAAUUAUUGGGCGUAAAGGGCUCGCAGGCGGUUUCUUAAGUCUGAUGUGAAAGCCCCCGGCUCAACCGGGGAGGGACAUUGGAAACUGGGAAACUUGAGUGCAGAAGAGGAGAGUGGAAUUCCACGUGUAGCGGUGAAAUGCGUAGAGAUGUGGAGGAACACCAGUGGCGAAGGCGACUCUCUGGUCUGUAACUGACGCUGAGGAGCGAAAGCGUGGGGAGCGAACAGGAUUAGAGACCCCCGUAGUCCCUGUCUCUUAUAC
rnacentral:rRNA from 1 species